rnacentral:rRNA from 1 species
UUAAAUUGAAGAGUUUGAUCAUGGCUCAGAUUGAACGCUGGCGGCAGGCCUAACACAUGCAAGUCGAACGGUAACAGGAAGCAGCUUGCUGCUUCGCUGACGAGUGGCGGACGGGUGAGUAAUGUCUGGGAAACUGCCUGAUGGAGGGGGAUAACUACUGGAAACGGUAGCUAAUACCGCAUAACGUCGCAAGACCAAAGAGGGGGACCUUCGGGCCUCUUGCCAUCGGAUGUGCCCAGAUGGGAUUAGCUAGUAGGUGGGGUAACGGCUCACCUAGGCGACGAUCCCUAGCUGGUCUGAGAGGAUGACCAGCCACACUGGAACUGAGACACGGUCCAGACUCCUA